CAAAAAACCGAACGAACAAACAAACACAAGUAGAAGGAUCGAAAAGAAACGGAAAGAAAAGAAAAGAGGGAAGAGACGAAACUAGCUCGUGCUUCCAUGUCUCCUUGGGUUUCCUUCUAUCUUUUU
rnacentral:ribozyme from 1 species